rnacentral:rRNA from 1 species
CAUGAACGCUGGCGGCGUGCCUAAUACAUGCAAGUCGAGCGAACAGACGAGGAGCUUGCUCCUUUGACGUUAGCGGCGGACGGGUGAGUAACACGUGGGUAACCUACCUAUAAGACUGGGAUAACUUCGGGAAACCGGAGCUAAUACCGGAUAAUAUUUAGAACCGCAUGGUUCGAUAGUGAAAGGUGGCUCUGCUAUCACUUAUAGAUGGACCUGCGCCGUAUUAGCUAGUUGGUAAGGUAACGGCUUACCAAGGCAACGAUACGUAGCCGACCUGAGAGGGUGAUCGGCCACACUGGAACUGAGACACGGUCCAGACUCCUACGGGAGGCAGCAGUAGGGAACCUUCCGCAAUGGGCGAAAGCCUGACGGAGCAACGCCGCGUGAGUGAUGAAGGUCUUCGGAUCGUGAAACUCUGUUAUUAGGGAAGAACAAACGUGUAAGUAACUGUGCACGUCUUGACGGUACCUAAUCAGAAAGCCACGGCUAACUACGUGCCAGCCGCCGCGGUAAUAC